UUAUCGGAGAGUUUGAUCCUGGCUCAGGACGAACGCUGGCGGCGUGCCUAAUACAUGCAAGUCGAGCGGAUUGAUGGGAGCUUGCUCCCUGAUAUCAGCGGCGGACGGGUGAGUAACACGUGGGUAACCUGCCUGUAAGACUGGGAUAACUCCGGGAAACCGGGGCUAAUACCGGAUAACUCAUUUCCUCGCAUGAGGAAAUGUUGAAAGGUGGCUUCGGCUACCACUUACAGAUGGACCCGCGGCGCAUUAGCUAGUUGGUGAGGUAAUGGCUCACCAAGGCAACGAUGCGUAGCCGACCUGAGAGGGUGAUCGGCCACACUGGGACUGAGACACGGCCCAGACUCCUACGGGAGGCAGCAGUAGGGAAUCUUCCGCAAUGGACGAAAGUCUGACGGAGCAACGCCGCGUGAGUGAUGAAGGUUUUCGGAUCGUAAAGCUCUGUUGUUAGGGAAGAACAAGUGCCGUUCGAAUAGGGCGGCACCUUGACGGUACCUAACCAGAAAGCCACGGCUAAC
rnacentral:ncRNA from 1 species